rnacentral:rRNA from 1 species
GGACUACAGGGGUAUCUAAUCCUGUUUGAUCCCCUUGCUUUCGCGCCUCAGCGUCAGGUAUAAGAUAGAAAACCGCCUUCGCCACUGGUGUUCUUCCACAUAUCUACGCAUUUCACCGCUACAUGUGGAAUUCCGUUUUCUCCUCCUACCCUCAAGAAUUGCAGUUUCAAAUGCCGUUCCGGGGUUGAGCCCCGGGAUUUCACAUCUGACUUACAAUCCCGCCUACGCGCCCUUUACGCCCAAUAAAUCCGAUUAAUGCUUGCACCCUCCGUAUUACCGCGGCUGCUGGCAC